rnacentral:rRNA from 1 species
GAUGAACGCUGGCGGCGUGCCUAAUACAUGCAAGUCGAGCGAACGGACGAGAAGCUUGCUUCUCUGAUGUUAGCGGCGGACGGGUGAGUAACACGUGGAUAACCUACCUAUAAGACUGGGAUAACUUCGGGAAACCGUAGCUAAUACCGGAUAAUAUUUUGAUCCGCAUGGUUCAACAGUGAAAGACGGUCUUGCUGACCCUUAUAGAUGGAUCCGCGCUGCAUUAGCUAGUUGGUAAGGUAACGGCUUACCAAGGCAACGAUGCAUAGCCGACCUGAGAGGGUGAUCGGCCACACUGGAACUGAGACACGGUCCAGACUCCUACGGGAGGCAGCAGUAGGGAAUCUUCCGCAAUGGGCGAAAGCCUGACGGAGCAACGCCGCGUGAGUGAUGAAGGUCUUCGGAUCGUAAAACUCUGUUAUUAGGGAAGAACAUAUGUGUAAGUAACUGUGCACAGCUUGACGGUACCUAAUCAGAAAGCCACGGCUAACUACGUG